rnacentral:tRNA from 1 species
GGGGAUGUGGUCUAAUGGUAAGAUUCUGUCUUCAGCGUACGGUGCCGAAUUCGGCAAGGAAGCCGGAAUCGGCAACUCCAACCCACUGCGCGGAUUCAGAGACGUCGGUUCGAUCCCGGACUUCUCCA